GCGUACGAUCACAGGAGAAGGGGGAAAAGGGGGUGUAAACUCUAACCACAAGAAAUCAUCAAUUGAAAAGGAAAUCGCGGGCUGAUUGUGUGCAUGAACCAAGAAUGAUGAUCCCUUAAGCGUUUCUCACAUCAACGUAGGAGCCAUGUCAACAUGGACACGAGCAUGGAAGGGCAAUGGGUCAAAGGUAAAUACGGAAGCUAUGCACGAACUCGGACACACGAGGUUUAUACGGAUUUCUUCUACCACGAAUGAAGAGAAGCGGGCAUGGAUCGAGUUGAUAGCGAGGAUUGUACGGGAAAGAACGGUCACCUAGCUUGGAUUAUGUAACACUUGUAGAAUUGUUUUCCAUGAAUGUUGUUAAAUCAGUUAGUAAGUGUUAAACGUUUUGUGACUAAAUCUAUACGUAAGCAAUGUAUUUAGCAAAGUAAGAAAAAAAAUUAAGGAUCGUU